GGAAGUACAAGUCGUAACAAGGUAUCCGUAGGUGAACCUGCGGAUGGAUCAUUACCAAAGAACUCUCUUCCGAGUCCUGUGAACCGUUUUCGUGGUCAGUGCUUUUUUUACUCAAUUUUUUGGGUGAGAGACGCGCUGGCUGCUCCAAACACAAAUGUAUUAUACCACCAAACAGAGUCACUUUAGCUUAAAACUAAAGACAACUUUUAGCAACGGAUCUCUUGGCUCUC
rnacentral:misc_RNA from 1 species